CAGCAGUAGACAGGUUAGACAGGUUAGGCUGGGCUGGGAGGUGACAGCAGUAGACAGGUUAGACAGGGCUGGGAGGUGACUGCAGUAGACAGGUUAGGCUGGGCUGGGAGGUGACAGCAGUAGACAGGUUAGACAGGUUGGGCUGGGAGGUGACAGCUGUAGACAGGUUAGGCAGGGCUGGGAGGUGACAGCAGUAGGCAGGUUAUGCUGGGUUGGGAGGUGACAACAGUAGACAGGUUAUGCUGGGUUGGGAGGUGACUGCAGUAGACAGGUUAUGCUGGGCUGGGAGGUGACUGCAGUAGACAGGUUAGGCUGGG